rnacentral:rRNA from 1 species
UACGUAGGGACCAAGCGUUGUUCGGAUUUACUGGGCGUAAAGGGCGCGUAGGCGGCCCCGCAAGUCACUUGUGAAAUCUCCGGGCUUAACUCGGAACGGUCAGAUGAUACUGCUUUGCUAGAGUGCGGAAGGGGCAAUCGGAAUUCUUGGUGUAGCGGUGAAAUGCGUAGAUAUCAAGAGGAACACCUGAGGUGAAGACGGGUUGCUGGGCCGACACUGACGCUGAAGCGCGAAAGCCAGGGGAGCAAACGGG